CCCUUAGAUGUUCUGGGCCGCACGCGCGCUACACUGACGGAUUCAACGAGCUUACAACCUUGGCCGAAAGGUCUGGGUAAUCUCCAAAAUCCGUCGUGAUGGGGAUAGAUUAUUGCAAUUAUUAAUCUUCAACGAGGAAUGCCUAGUAAGCGCAAGUCAUCAGCUUGCGUUGAUUACGUCCCUGCCCUUUGUACACACCGCCCGUCGCUCCUACCGAUUGAAUGGUCCGGUGAAGCGUUUGGACUAUGGUUUUCUGAUGGUCCGCCGUUGGAUUACCGUGGGAAGUUCGUUAAACCUUAUCAUUGAGAGGAAGGAGAAGUCGUAACA
rnacentral:rRNA from 1 species